AAAGGGUGCGUAGGCGGUUUAUUAAGUCAGUGGUGAAAGACGGUCGCUCAACGAUUGCAGUGCCAUUGAUACUGGUAGACUUGAGUGAGAUUGAGGUAGCUGGAAUGGAUAGUGUAGCGGUGAAAUGCAUAGAUAUUAUCCAGAACACCAAUUGCGUAGGCAAGUUACUAAGUCUCAACUGACGCUGAGGCACGAAAGUGUGGGUAUCAAACAGGAUUAGAUACCCCAGU
rnacentral:rRNA from 1 species